rnacentral:lncRNA from 1 species
UUAGGACCACUCAGAUUCACAUGGGGCUGUUUAGGUUCACCUAGGCCCAUCGAGGGACACCUAGCCCACUUAGGUCCACCUUGACCCACUUAGAUUAACCUAGGCUCAUUUAAGCACAUCUUGAUCCACUUAGGGUCACUAGGUCCACUUAGGCAUCCUAGCCCACCUAUGUCACCUUUUAGGUAAUUUCUAUAUGAUUUACAUAAUUUGCAUGAUUUGCAUUUUUAAAGUUGCAUGUACUUGAUUUCUUAUUUAUUUAUU